GCGACAUUGGUGUAGCGGUUUGCACGGUGUGCCAUGUGAUCCCCAAAAACGUCGACAUAUUCACACAGCUCCAGGUUCGAGUCCUGGAUGUCGCA